GGAGGAGCUAGUUACCCAGGGCGACCAGGAUUCCCGGUACGUGUCGCCAUCUCCGCCAGUCAGAGAACAAUCAGAACAACAAUUUUUUGCAUUUUUACAGCAUGUGAUGUUUUUCACUUCAGGGGCCGAUCGGACCCAAGGGAGACCCCGGACAGCCAGGGAUCCCAGGAGAGGCGGCUAAGGGAAACAAGGGAGAGCCAGGAAUCAUCAGAGAUCGGGACGGGAACGCCAUCUACCUGGGAGGGCUGUCUGGAGCCCCGGGGGUUCCGGGACACCCUGGCCCUGUGGGACCACCAGGUUCGUAUGGUCCUUCUGGUCCAAAGGGGGACAUCGGGUUUCCUGGCAGACCGGGUCGACCAGGACUCAAUGGAGCCAAAGGACCGAAGGGCGACUCUGCGUCUAGUGCUGGCUCAGGAUACCCGGUCAGAACCCCGGAACCCUAAAAUCUGAGCUUUACACGGCUCACAAUACAGCCCGGAAAUCAAUUAGGAUUUAGUCGAUUAGCGAAUUGGAUGCAUAAUUAUCUUCCUUAAUUAAGGCAUUGCUUAAUUGUCCUUAAGUCGUUUUUUUACAGCUUAACACUUAACACAUAAAUGUGCAGAGGUUGGCUGCUUUAGCGUUAGCAAAGCUCUUAGCUAGUUUUCCAUGCAAAGUGUUUAAUUUUGACGAUAACUAACCAGCGUCCGAUCACUUUAAUCAAUGAUACCCGUUCUGUUUGUCUAGGGCCCCCCAGGGCCACCGGGGCCCCCUGGUCAACCGGGAGGCAGCGGCUCCCCGGCCAGAUUCAGUGUGAGUAUCAUUAAGAGAGGACCUAACCGAAGGACACGUGGAUCCGAGUGUGCAGAGCACAGACUAAAGAAUCAACGAGGAACGCAUCAAUACAUGAGGGUUGCAUUCUAAUAACUAAAUAACCCUCAGAUAAAUUACCUGUCUUGUCGUUACAGGGUUAUGACGACUCCUCAAGAUAUCAUUACGGUAAUACCCUUUUUAAAUGUUUUUAUUUUGUACAAUAAUCGUUCUU
rnacentral:lncRNA from 1 species